CAAUAGCUUCAAGUCUGUCUAUUUUCACCAUAUAGGCUUCUAGAGACUUUCUUAGGAAGUAUUAUAAUCUUAUCUCUUUAGAUUAUUCCUUACUAAUCUACAGUUAAGUAGUAGUAAAUAGCACUAAUUAGUAGUAUUUUACUACUACUAGUACUAUUUACUACUACUUAACUAUAGAUUAGUAAGGAAUAAUCUAAAGAAAUGAGAUUAUAAUACUUCUUAAAAAAGUCUCCAGAAGCCUAUAUAGUGAAAAUAGACAGACUUAAAGCUAUUG
rnacentral:miRNA from 1 species